GUUGAACGCUGGCGGCGUGCCUAAUACAUGCAAGUCGAGCGAACAGACGAGGAUCUUGCUCCUCUGACGUUAGCGGCGGAUGGGUGAGUAACACGUGGAUACCCUACCUUUAGGACUGGGAUAACUUCGGGAAACCGGAGCCAACAUCGGACAAUAUGUUGAACCGCAUGGUUCAAUAGUGAAAGACGGAUUUGCUGUCACUUAUAGAUGGAUCCGCGCCGCAUUAGCUAGUUGGUAAGGUAACGGCUUACCAAGGCUACGAUGCGUAGCCGACCUGAGAGGGUGAUCGGCCACACUGGAACUGAGACACGGUCCAGACUCCUACGGGAGGCAGCAGUAGGGAAUCUUCCGCAAUGGGCGAAAGCCUGACGGAGCAACGCCGCGUGAGUGAUGAAGGUCUUCGGAUCGUAAAACUCUGUUAUUAGGGAAGAACAAAUGUGUGAGUAACUAUGCACGUCUUGACGGUACCUAAUCAGAAAGCCACGGCUAACUACGUG
rnacentral:rRNA from 1 species